rnacentral:lncRNA from 1 species
UUCUGAAUGAAACGGUGACAUUUCUAUUACAUCCUUAGAAACAACCAACAAAGCCUUUUCCUCUGAUAUCUCUACACAUGAAACAAGUGAAGAAUGCUGCUGUACAACCAUUAAGAUCUUCCCCUGGGAAUGAAGAUAAGAGGAUGAAAUGGUGUGAUGAACACAAAGCUUUCCACAAUCGCCUAGACAUUGUGGAAGAGACCCUGGACAAGACUGUGGAACACCUGGAGUCUGAAGUAAAGAACCUGCUUAACCUGAUGAAUUCGAUAGCCUGGAACUUGCCCCCAGCGUCUGGGAGCCCCACCGAGAACUUCUUAGGAGACGGAGGAAAACUAGACAUGACUGGAUCUUGCCGUCUCUUCAGCUUUGCUGAUGAGCAAGGGAAGCUCCCGGCAGACAAGGAAGAGGAUGCAGGGGGAGGGGAGAUGUGAAUCCCUAUGAGCACCAAGACGAUUUGGAGCUGAAGGCAGCAGUGGCUCCCCGGCGUUUUGGAUAAUUCACCCCCCAAGUGUUUUCAUCCACUUGGACAUGUGUUGGAAAAGGCUGUUGUGUAAUAAAUGUGUCUUGUACUGUGAAUGAACUGGAAGACUGCGAUAUUGUUGUAACAAGCCACAGGUCUGAUGGUUCCCUAUUUUACUUUUAUCUCCAUUUGGUUUGCUGGACCAGUCAGAUUCAUGUUCUCCUUAUUGUUCAAGGAAAUCAUCUUCAUCCUGAAGUUUAGAACUCUUAAAAUCUAACCCAAAGAUCUUUUGACUAAAUCCUGAAUCUGAUCUGUACUGCCUUUAGCAUACAAACUUCUCUGGAUCUAUGCUUGCUUCAAUUGUAAAAAUGUCCUCAAAAGUCUAUGACAUUAAUGUCCAAAUUCUCCCUCCUUGGUACUAGUGGGGGCCUUGAUGGGGACAGGCCAUAUCUUGUAGAUAAGUGAUUAACACCUCAGAGGCAUGAGGAGACUUGUCCCAGAGUUACAUGAGAUUUAGGGAUUCAAAUACACUCACCUCCUUCAUAAAACAAUUGAUUUCAAGCUAUAUUAGGUCCAGAGUCUGGUAGUUAGAUAUGGUGGCUUGGACAGAAGUUAAAAGGGUCAGUAAAAAGGAUAAAAAGAAAAACCUGGAUGUCCCAGACCCUCGGAAGAAGUUAACAAGAGCCGAGAUAAUGGAAGAAAAGGCUUCAGCAAAUUAAAUUUCUUAGAAGGGGAGGAGAUAGAGGCAGGAGAUCCCAAUGGGAGAGAAAGGGUGAUUUGGGAAAUAAUUGGCCCCAAGGAAAGUAUUGGGUAUUCUGGAAAGGAAUUCACAGGCUCUAUCACUGCCAAAAGUGAUCCAUGCCACAAAAGAUCAAGAAUCCCCCACAAAGAUGUUUAGAUACAAAAGUUAUUUCUUGGAUAUUAGAGAAAGGGAGAGGGGAAUUGGAGAGAAGAGAUAUAUGAAAGGCAAAAGAGGGAGAGAAGAAAUGGCAGAUCUUUGAUCUGCCGUGGAACUAUCUGUGUAUCUUUGGAUAAAAUCUCUGGACAUACUUCUCCAUGUCUGAAACAGGAUGAUUGAAUCAUUAAAAGCUCCUUAACCAUAUAGUUCAUUUAUUAUAAUAAUCCAUGGUUCUAAACAUUUUUUGGUUCCUCCAUCAUUUAAUAACAAAAAGAGUUGUGAACCCCACAGAUAAUUUAAUGAUACUUAUAAUAUUCUUUAGAUUUGUUAAGUGCUUGCAAUAACUUCUUCCCCUUCCUAAAGUUUCAAACUAAAAUUUGUAUUAUAUAAUUCUAUAAUUAUGGAAGCUCUAAAUAUAAAAUUCAUGAACUGUAAUUAUAUAAUUACAAAUAUUUUGAGAUAUUCUGUAAGAAUUAAUUGAUCCAGCAAGAACAUAUAUGCUUACUAUUUUCUGCAAACUUCAUAUUAUAAACUUAGAUAAAUGUAAAUAGAAUUGUAAUGAUCCAAGUUCAUUAAACAUAAGGAGGAUAUUUAACAUUAUAAUCACAUAUAAACUUAAAUUAAAUGUACUUAAAAAAAUUGAACAAAGGCUUGCAAUAUUUGGCUCAACACCAGGCAUAAAGAUUUGUUUACACAUCAAGUUUAUUUCUCUUUUUUGAUUUAAAACAAGAAAAUGAAAAUGCUUAACUUUCACAAAUAUGUGGAGGAAAUGGUAGAAUUUUACAAGCUCUCUUGCUGAGAUGGAAAUUAAUUUUUUAUUUUUAGUCAAAAAUGUACAGGCUAUCAUUUUAAAGUGAUUUUCAUAGUCCAAGAUUCAUUGAUAGGUCAAUUUAAUUUUCUUUUUCAUCCAUGUCAUUUAAUCAGUCAAAUAUAAAAGACACAUCAAAUGUGUCAUAAGUCCAAUUAAAUGUAUUAAGAAUUUCAGGGAAUUAUUCAUUGGAAGUCAUUUCUAAAAAUUUCAUUCACAUCUGACUGCCAUGACAACAUAAUCCAAAGAUAGUUCACUUUUUAAUAAGAUUAUGUAAUAUCAAAGAGCCUAGUACUAUUCUUAAUUAUAUGGCUCCAAAGUUGUAGUGUCUUAAUCAUACUUUUUACUUCAUCUUGAAUGUGAAAUGUUUCCAUUCUCUCUCUGUAAUGAUGUGUUGAGUUUAUUCAUUUUUUUUAAAGACGUCUGCUAAAUAUGCUAAUUUUUGUAACCAUGUCAUAUGGCAUGUACCCUCAGGUAAAAAGGAUGUGGAGUGAAGACAGCCAACUCUUCUCUAAUUCCAAAUAAAUGAGUAAUAACCCAGACAUGGAAAAGUCACCUAACAUCGAUCUGUGUGUGUUAGAAAGGCUAUAUGCCCAUGACACCAUUAAAUAAUGUUGAGCACAAACCUUUCAGGCCAUUGGGGGGCAGUGGUGGUGGUUGUGAAACACUAAAUGGGAAUCACUGAUGCAAUAGUUUAAAUUUUAACUUCAAGUGAAAAAACAAAACAAAACCUAGAUUCAACUCUUGGUUUUCUUACUGAGUAGCUGCAUGACCAUGGGGUAAAUCAUGACCAUUCAUGACUGAAUGAGCAUUUUGCCUGAGAAACCUGUAAAGUAAGAAUAAUUACUCCUUGCAUAAUCUACCCCCAUAAGGUUGUUUUGAGAAAAUGUUGUAGAUUCUUAAAAUUAUCAUACAGGAUUUGCUGUUUUACUUGUAAGACAACAGGCCUCCGUCUUAAAUCCCAAAUCUCGUAACUUAGAAAACCACAUUAACUUUUUAUUCUAUCUUAUUUAUCAAGUAUUUCCCAAUUAAUUUUAACUUGGUUCUGCAGCACUGAGGGAUAUUUAACAUAUCUGGACUACCAGAUGGCCUGGUUCAGACUUUGGGUCUUCCCUCCUUAUUUUACAGAGUAAAAGAAGCACUCAAAUAUGGAGAGAUUUUAGUUUUACAAUAUUAUUUCCUGACAAUAGCCCUGUGAGAAAGGCUAAUAAAAGUAUUAUUCCCAUUUUACAGAUGAGAAAACUUAGGGUCACAAAGUUUAAAUGACUCCUUAAUGGCCACACGGUAAUUAUCAGAACCAAGAUUUGAAUUGAAAUGUCCAGGCUUUGAAUCCCCCACUGUUGGGCAGAAAACAGAACUGAUCUCAGCUAGGAAAAGCUUAUUAUUGCUGGUGUCCCUAGUUCUCUUUCAAGGGUCAUACUCUAAACUAAACAUUCUACAUAUGGUCUGACCAGGAAAUGGGAUCCAGAUUGAGUCAUUCUGAACUCUAUAUGUUUAUUAAUGAAGACUAAGACCAAAUCUGCCAUUUGGGCAGGUAUACAUCAUUAUCAUGGAUUCAUUUUCAAUUUUCAAUGAACUAAGCCCCUCACCCAACUUUUAUUUUCACUCAAACUGCUAGUAAUCAGGUCUAUUAUCCUUUAGUUCUGCAACUAUUAGAAUCUAAGAAUAGGACCAUUCAUUUCCUGGUUUCAAAUUUCACCCAAUGGGUCAUGAUUCUUUCAUCCAGUGCUUAUGUUUCAGUUGUGUAUUAUCUGUAAAUUUAAUAAGUAUAUACCAUUUAUGCUUUCAUCAGACACUCAUUAAAAUAUUCAGUAAGAUGGGGUAAGGCAAGUUAGGUAAUGAUCCCUGCAGAACACCAAUAGAGACCUCUUUCCAUUCAUUGAAGACUAUUUAAUUAUACUAUUACAUAGCUCUCAUGUUGUUCAAAGGAAUACGGCAAGAUCUUGUCAGAUGCCUCCUUAAAAACCAGAUGCAUUUUGUUUAUAUCAAUACCGUACCCCUACUAAUCUAUGUGACUCUAUCCCACUCUCCGACCCCACAAAGUUAGUGAUGGCUGUUUGGCAUGAACUGGGCUUAUUAAUACCUUUCUGAUUUAUAGAUUCCAUCUCCCCACAUUUUAUGAAAUAUUAAGGUUGGACUACUGUAAUAUAGUCCAAAUUUAAUAAUAAUAUAGCUAAUACUUAAUAAAGGUAGGUAGGUGUGCCUUUCACAAGAUUCUCCUGACUAAAUCUAUCCUAAGAGCAGGCCAGCAAAUAGAUAGACAAAAUAAUAGAGCAGCUUUAUGUCACCUGUCUCAUCCCCACUACUCAAUAAAUUCCAGCGGCUUCUGAUCAUCUUCAGGAUCAAAUAUAAAACUCUUUGGCACAAAGCUCUUUAAUCCUGACUCUUACCCUCUUUCAGGUUUCUCUCCUACCCCCAAUGACACCGAGGUCGCCCAACUCCAAGCAUUUUCACCAGCUGUUUCCCAUGUCUUCAUCUAUGCUUUCCCAGCUUAUUCUGUCUUUAACAAGUGGUUUGGACUUCUAGAGAAAACCUAGAGGACUAUUUUCUUCUACUUUGGCCAUGUUUGUUCUAGCCUUUCCAGCCUUGAAGUUCUCUUGGUCUAGCAGUUCUUGACCUGGGGCCUCCUCCCCAGAGACUCAGGGACAAUACUUCAAGGGAUCAAUGAGUCUGGGUUGGGGGGGAGGGGAGGAGAGAAUGUAUAUUUACUUUUACUAAUCUCCAAAUGAAAUUGAACAUUUCCUCCAAUUAUAGAAAAACAUUAUUUUGAGAAGGGAUGGUUAAGUGUCAAAAAACAAUGCCAAAGAAUGGAGGGGAUGAAGGUCAUGACACUAAAAAAGUUAAGAACCCCUGACCUAGACAAAGGAAAACAAGAGCCAGGGAAUUCUUUCUGGUUAUUCACAUCACACCAUUAGCCCCAAGCAAUGGGUCAAGUCCUUCCCUGUUUCUGGGUGUUUUCCCAUGGUCUUAACUUUUCUUUUGAUUCUGAGCCAUUCAAUUUCUCGAUCCUCCCUUAGAGGUAAUGCCCUUAGCCUGCAGGUUUCCAGCAGACUGCCUCUUCCUACAUCAUCCUUUCUUUAGCAUCUUUUCAGUC